AUUGAACGCUGGCGGCAGGCCUAACACAUGCAAGUCGAGCGAGCGGCGGACGGGUGAGUAAUGUAUGGGGACUGCCUGAUAGAGGGGGAUAACUACUGGAAACGGUAGCUAAUACCGCAUACUAUCAGAUUACCCAUAUGGGAUUAGCUAGUAGGUGGGGUAAUGGCUCACCUAGGCGACGAUCCCUAGCUGGUCUGAGAGGAUGACCAGCCAAACUGGGACUGAGACACGGCCCAGACUCCUACGGAGGCAGCAGUGGGGAAUAUUGCACAAUGGGCGCAAGCCUGAUGCAGCCAUGCCGCGUGUAUGAAGAAGGCCUUCGGGUUGUAAAGUACUUUCAGUGGGGAGGCGUUACCGGCAGAAGAAGCACCGGCUAACUCCGUGCCAGCAGCCGCGGUAAUUC
rnacentral:rRNA from 1 species